GUGCUUCCUUUGGCAGCACGUAUACUAAAACUGGAAUGAUACGGAGAAGAUCAGCAUGGCCCCUUGCACAAGAAUGACAUGCAGAUUCAUGAAGUGUUCCAUAUUUUU